GAUCAUUUUUCCGCUAGCUUGUACCAAGUGUAGUGGUGUUUUUCCUACCUUUUUGACAAACAAAGUGAGUUUGCACAGUAUAUUUUGCAAACCUUAUGUGUGUGACGACUGUAUAAUACUUCAUAUGUUGACGUCUGAGUACAGCAAUACCACCAUAUGUACCUUUGCCAGGUAUAUGUGGAUGUUGAAGGGGCGCACUUGAGACGCAGCCAGUUUUU